rnacentral:lncRNA from 1 species
UAGAAUUCAGGUCUGGGUUAUUAACUAGACAUAUGGACAGAUCAUAAGUGAACAGAAUAACAACAGAAGUUUGGUGUACAACUACAGUACAUUAUAACAAGACAAGUUUUUGCAUCUAUCAAGCAUCAAGGUAAGCUUUCAUGAUCAUAGAAAUGAAGGUGUUUGUAUUAGCGCAAUGCUUUAAUCAGUAGGGUCUUUCCCAUCUAUGAUCAAGGUCGAUUGCGUCAGCUCUGUUGUGGCGUUCAUGUAUAUGACGAUGGAAUUAUGUUAAAUUAUGGUAUCGAGGCUUAUUUUUAAGCAUGCCUAGGAUUUUGUUCCUGUUUGUGUUGAUCUGAACAUGUGCUCUGUUCAUGUAGAAGAACUCAUAUGAAUCUGUCUUAGGGAAAUAAUUGAGUACAUGUGAUCAGUAUGUUAGCCAAAACUGAACAUUUGAUCUCUAUUGAACUGAAAGGAUUGUAUAUUUGAUCUCUGUUUAACUGAAAAGAUUGAACCCUUACUUUUGAUCUCUGUUUAAGUUUAAAAAUUCAGCUGUUCCACAAACCUUCUAUAGUUCAGAAACCGAAUCUUUAGAUGUACUCUGUUUUAGUGCAGAAAAUGAAUUUUAGUGCACAAACUGAAUUAGUACAGAAACUGAAAAGACUGAACCUUUACUUUUGAUCUCAGUUUAAGUUUAAAAAUUUAGAUGUUCCACAAACCUUCGAUAGUUCAGAUAUCGGACCUUUACAUAUACUCUGUUUUAGUGCAGAAAAUGAAUUUUAGUGCAGAAACUGAAUUAGAACAGGAACUGAAAAGACUGAACAUUUACUGUUGAUCUACGUGUAAGUUUAGAAGUUCAGCUAUUCCACAAAUAUUCUUUAGUUUAGAUAGCGAAUAUUUAGAUACACUCUGUUUUAGCGUAGAAAAUGAAUUUUAGCGCACAAACUGAAUUAGCGCAGAAACCAUUGCAAAAACUGUUUUUUGGUUUCUUUGCUUUCUUUAAGUGCAGGAAUUUAUUUAUUUUCUUUCCGGAGCCGCGGCCGCCGCCCUGUGACCAGAAGAAUUGGGGAUCUCGAGAGGGAAUUUUGCAGUUGUGGCCAUUUUAAAAAUAGACCUCUGUGAAAUCUAUGUACUCCUGAUACUAUUAUAUCAUGCUGCAUUUCCUGUGAUAUAUCAAAUAUCUAUCCUUUGUCCUAAACAAGAGGCCUUACAUUUAUACUGAGCAAUACUAAUUUGGUGAGUAUAUAAUAUUGCAAUGCUUAUAACCCUUUGGUCAGUGGCCCAUCUGAAUUGAGAUGCAUCAUAGUUGUCUUAAUAUUAUUUAUUCUGUUUCUUACUAUCUGAUCCAUCCCACACAACAAGUAUUCUUCCUGAGAACUAUGCUCAGAUAGUUGAAUAUAUUAUUUUGUACUUAAUUGUUGAAAGAUGGAUUUGUAUUACUAAUGCUGAGAUGGGCAUUACAAUUUUCUUUCAAGGGAACAGACCAAACCAAACUGCGACUUUAUUUGUAAAUAUUUGAAAUUUAUAUUAUGUCUCUUAUGUGAUCUCAGAGGACUUAAUUUUUAUGUGGGGACAUCAAGCUACCUUUAGUGACUUACAAGCUAUCAACCAACAAGAGUUUUCCCUUCUUUUGGAGCCUGCUAAGCUAUCAACAAACAAAGAGGUUGUCCGUUCUCUUGCUAAUGAAAUAUGUAUUUACUAGAAUUUUUGUUAUUAUCAGAAGAGGGUUAUAUUUUUAUGGGAGGCUGCAUUUGUUAUGGUUCGGUAUUUCUAAAGGGGUACAUUUCUUUGUAGGUACUAUGCUGAGACUGAAGAGGAUGCUAGCCAGCGGCCCACCUCUCUUGUCGUCACCGCUGAGCCGCCAUGUCUCCUUCAGAGGCUUACUGUAUUGCUACAUGUUUAUGCUUCUUAUCCACUCACCCAUUGUAGUGUAGGUUUGUGUUCUUGGAUCUCUUUCCCUCCAUUUCUUAUUUUUGGUGAGCGGGUGAGCUAAUUGGGCUAUUUUCCUCUAGGUCUAUUGCGGCAAUUGAAUGCUUCAAAGGAUUUUAAUGGAGUUCAUUGUAGCUGAGUCGUGAAUCUCCAGCUUGCUUCCAUGUCUUUUCUCACUAGAGACACCUCCUGCCGGCGAUGGCGAUGACCGCUACCCUGCUCCUCUCCCGGCAAAGGCAUGUCUACCUCUCCUGUGAAGUUAAGGCCAUCUUUGCCUCUUCCUUCAGUUUUUCCUCUGUUUUUUGUUACACGACUUUGUGGUGCUUAGUGUAUAUAUCAUUCCCUCUUGUCCAUUGAUUGAACAACUCUGCUACAUGUGAUUGCAUUAGCAAACUCCAUUUUUGUGUAUGUAGAAAAACAAAGGAAACUCCAUUUUUGUGUAUGUGGAAAAAACAAAGGAAACUGCAUUUUUGUGUAAUUACAAACAAAUGAAACUCCAUUUUUUUGUAAUUACAAACAAGAGACUUUUAGAUGGCGAAGACUGCUGCCCUGAUCCUAAGAGCCUACUGACAUUUUACCAAAUCUUGUUAUAAUUUUUUUUAUCAGCAGCAGAUACUUUUAAAUUUGUCUUUACAAUUCCAAGUACAUGACCAUACAGAUCCUUCUAUUUUUGAUGUAGCAGAACAAAUGUUCGUAAUUUAUACACCCAGGCUCAGCUUCUCUAUAUUGAUAAGAAGGUCUGGAGCGUGUUUCUUUUGUUUUCAACUCGAGGGGACCAGGUAGGACCAUAUAAACACAAUAAAAUGCCAGUUUCUUUGUUCCACGCCCUGGCACCCAUCCGUGACCUCGCGCCGCCGCCUUCGCUCCUCCCGCACUCGCGCCGCCCCCUCUUCCCUUCCUCCCGCCUCGCCUUCCUCUCUCUCCCUCCAAACCCUAGAACCGCCCACGCUUCCCUGCCCCUCUGCCGUCCAGGUCCAGCCCCACGCCGUCGUCGUCUCCUUCGCCCAGCCGGCCACUGAGGUAUGAUGCGACCCUUGCCCCCGCCGUCUCCUUGGCCCAGGCUAACCCAAGCGCCACGGUCGCCACGCCGCUGCCGACUCCUCGGCAGGAGGAGGAGGAAGAGAGUUUGAACAGGGCUGCGAUGGUUCCUGCACGGCGUGAUGCCGGUUAAGGUGAUCUUGUGGUACAUCUGUUCUUCCUAUCUCCUAGGUUCAUCGUGCCUCCAUUGAUUUUGAUUUUGCCUUCAAUUCUAAUGCAGGGUAGUUGCCCAUGGUGUUCCUGCGACUGCUAUGUAGGCGGAUUUGGAGGUUGAACCUCUUUCCUCUCUAUUCGUUUGGUACAACAGCUUGUUCUAUGUGACCACGACAGGGAUGGAGCUCUCAGUGAUGUGGAGCUCAAUGACUUUCAGGUUUGUAUUCACUGAGGCCACCAUUCUUCCUUUAUCUUAACAUGAGGCUGACUAGAGUUUUUUUUAUUGACAUUCUUCUAUGUAUGUUGAUACUAAAAUUCUCAUUCCAUUGGUUUGCAGGUCAGAUGUUUUAGCGCUCCUCUCCAGCCUACUACUGAAAUAUCAGGCAUGAAGAGGGUUGUUCAAGAGAAGUUGCCCGGAGGCGUAAAUGAUAGUCGCCUUACAUUGACUGGGUUCCUUUUCCUUCAUGCUCGGUUAUGAUAAUGAAAUCAUGCUUAGAGAUGAAUUCAUUCCAACGUCGGUCAAGCGAGCUCCUGAUCAAGUAAUGUUCUGUUGAUUACUGUCAGCUAUUCACAUUUUGUUGUCAGUUGAAGCUAGACCAAUUUUUAAGUGCACAUAUAUUUUUGUGUCAAGUUGUUCUUAUAAGGUAUUACGUGUAAGUUGAUAGUUGAUUUCAACCGUAUGGUGGGUAUAUGCAAUCCUGGCUUCAAUAUUCAUUUAUCUAUGUUUUUUUGCUUUUGUAUACAUAGAUAGUUAUUUCCUUCAGGGAAAAUUUUAAACUUCCCGUCACCAUGGAUCUAUGGCCAUCUACUUUAGCUGUUAUGCGAUGAUCUGAUUUACUUGGCAUAUUAGGAGUUGAUGAUUUAGAUCUGGAAGGAAAUGUAACUUUGACAUUGUAUAUUGCAAACUUUAUUAUCGUAAUAAAUAUUUAUAAUCUGGUCUGAUCGAUUGAGACAUGCUUCUAAGACAAGUACAAUAGUAGUUAAAUUAGCAACAUGAAUUUAUCUUUGGCUUGAAAAUCUGGAUCUUUUCUAAAGAUCAAUCGACGGUAUUGCAAUUUAUCUCUGCCUCUUUCCAACGGAUGCAUGUCCAUCCCCUGUUUAUCAAUUGUGUGUUACCUUACUUAAUCAAGAAACAUCUUAAUUUCUCAGCCGCUGUUCUCCCCGUCGAGCUUGGCCUUUGCCUUCGCUGGGAGCAGACUGGGCUCAAACUUGAAUUGCUCUGUUUUUUUACAUGUAGGUGCCUUCUUUUAAUCUAUGCAUGACCCAUGUUUCUAUGAUGUGCAGUUUGGCCCAUGAGCUUGAGGAUACGUGCUUUCUUGACCUUGGGACACACCGUCCUCCUCCACCAGCCGCCUAACAAGUCCGUCCUUCUUUAGCAGCAGAAACUGAAGCAGCUAGGGUUCACCACAUAUUGCCCAUUAUAUUUAUUUUUUCUACCCCUCUUCCACCAACAAUUACCUUGCAAUAAUGUAGUUCCAAUCUUUGUUUUGUACAGUGUUUCUUAAUCCUGGUUCGCUUCAAUUGAUUGAUUUAGGCAGAUCAUGGAGGUUGCUUCUCACAUUUCUGUUUGGGGAAUUCUUCAAUUGAGAAAUUGAAAUGACUGCUGGUUAGGUAAUUAGUUCACUGUCUAUUUGUUUAUUUGUUUUCUGUUCAAGCAAAUAUAGUACAUCAAAUUGUCUAUUUGUUUUCUGUUCUCCUUGGAUAUGUUAACUGAACUUCAAAAUAAAUCAGUUGUUUGUUUGUCUAAGAUUAUUUUAGACCCGUGAACUUGGGUCUGUUUAGAGUUACAUAUGUUGUAGAAGGUUGCCGUUCUGCUAUAAUACCAACAAGUCACAAAUAGUUGUUAGAUAUUUAGAUGGAUCUGUUGAGUUAACCAUUGUAUUUAUCAUUUUAUUAACUGUUAAUAGUAUACAUAGUGCUUACUCUGCUUUUCUAGGCACCUCAAGUCACUUUGAUACUAUCAUCAUUCAAAAUAUGUGCAAACAAGCCCAUUGGUGCUCAACAUGGAUACAUGCUUUCUUGACCUCACGUGAUACGCUAACCUAAUCCGCCGGCCGCCUAUAGGUCUUUGUGUGUGUGUGUGCGCGCCUAUGCCAUUAAAGCAGGCGGAGGUGCAACAAUGGAGGAUCCAACCAUUGGUGGAGAUCGAUAUAAGGCUAAGUAACUAAUUUUUUGCUUUUGCUAUCCUGAAUUUCUAUGUGGCACAUUAUGUGUGUGUGUGUGUGUGGAAUUGCUGUGACAUGCUUUUUUCAAUUAUACUCACAUUCUUUGCUUUAGUGGAUUAUUCUAUGCUUGCCCUGUUAACCAUCUUCUUCAUUUAUAAAGAACCUUCAGUGUUUCAUGAUAUUUCAUAGGAUUCUCAUUUUAACAUUUUUAGUGAGAGUCUCUUAAACUAUCUGGUUAGAAGAUAGGUGGAAUAAAUACAUGGUGGUUAAAUCUGAAGCAUAUACGUAUUAUUUCGAGGAAGAGUCCAGUCCGUGUACCUGCAUUGUUGCUACUUGAAUUUUAUUUUCUCGGCUGUAUGGAAGUAUUAGUUCUUUUCAAGUCAAUAUGUUGAUUGACAGAAUAACUAGAAGAUCCACUUGUUGGGAUGGUGCAGCUUUAACAGAAUGCACGUGAUGGCAGGAUACAUGCAAAAAUAAUAAUUUGUGUUAUUAAUCGCCAGCAAAUAAUGGUGAGAUCCAUGCCAUAUAUAUAUCAUAAAACUGUAGGGGAACGUAGUAAUUUCAAAAAAAUUCCUACGCACACGCAAGAUCAUGGUGAUGCAUAGCAACGAGCGGGGAGAGUGUGUCCAUGUACCCUCGUAGACCGAAAGCGGAAGCGUUAGAACAACACAGUUGAUGUAGUCGUACGUCUUCACGGCUCGACCGAUCAAGCACCGAAACUAUGACACCUCCGAGUUCUAGCACACGUUCAGCUCGAUGACGUCCCUCGAACUCCAAUCCAGCCGAGUGUCGAGGGAGAGUUCCGUCAGCACGACGGCGUGGUGACGAUCUUGAUGUUCUACCGUCACAGCGCUGUCUAGAGGUGCCCCCCUGCCCCCGUAUAUAAAGGAGCAAGGGGGAGGGGGCGGCCAGCCAGGGAGGAGGCGCACCAAGGGGAGUCCUACUCCCACGGGAGUAGGACUCCGUCGCCCCCCUCCUUGUCCAAUUCGGACUAGAGGGAGAGGGGGCGCGUGGCCUGCCCUGACCGCCCCUCCUCUUCUCCAUUUUGGGCCCAAGUGGCCCAUUAACCCCUCGGGGGGUUCCGGUAACCCUCCGGUACUCCAGUAUAUAUCUGAUAACCUCCGAAACUUAUUCCGGUGUUCGAAUAUAGUCGUUCAAUAUACCAAUCUUCAUGUCUCGACCAUUUCGAGACUCCUCGUCAUGUCCGUAAUCACAUUCGGGACUCCGAACAAACUUCGGUACAUCAAAACUCAUAAACUCAUAAUAUAACUGUCAUCGAAACCUUAAGCUUGCGGACCCUAUGGGUUCGAGAACUAUGUAGACAUGACCGAGAACUGUUUCCGGUCAAUAACCAAUAGCGGAACCUGAAUGCUCAUAUUGGCUCCUAUAUAUUCUACGAAGAUCGUUAUCGGUCAAACCGCAUAACAACAUACGUUGUUCCCUUUGUCAUCGGUAUGUUACUUGCCCGAGAUUUGAUCGUCGGUAUCUCAAUACAUAGUUCAAUCUCGUUGCCGACAAGUCUCUUUACUCGUUACGUAAUGCAUCAUUCCAUAACUAACUCAUUAGCUACAUUGCUUGCAAGGUUUAUAGUGAUAUGCAUUACCGAGAGGGCCCAGAGAUACCUCUCCGACAAUCGGAGUGACAAAACCUAAUCUCGAAAUACGCCAACUCAACAUGUAUCUUUGGAGGCACCUGUAGAGCUCCUUUAUAAUCACCCAGUUACGUUGUGACGUUUGGUAGCACACAAAGUGUUCCUCCGGUAAACGGGAGUUACAUAAUCUCAUAGUUGUAGGAACAUGUAUAAGUCAUGAAGAAAGCAAUAGCAACAUACUAAACGAGCAAGCGCUAAGCUAACUGAAUGGGUAUGUCAAUCAUAUCAUUCUCCUAAUGAUGUGAUCCCGUUAAUCAAAUGACAACUCAUGUCUAUGGUCAGAAAACAUAACCAUCUUUGAUUAAUGAGAUAGUCAAGUAGAGGCAUACUAGUGACUUUAGGUUUGUCUAUGUAUUCACACAUGUAUCAUGUUUCCGGCUAAUACAAUUAUAGCAUGAAUAAUAAACAUUUAUCAUGAUAUGAGGAAAUAAAUAAUAACUUUAUUAUUGCCUCUAGGGCAUAUUUCCUUCAAAAACCUUAUCACAAUCUCUAUGUUAUUCUAUGUCACCUCUGGUACUACAUUGUGAUUCUUACAAGGAAUUACUUCCUCCUCUUUCUCCCUGGUUUUAUUUUGCAUGGAUAUUGUAACCUCACUAGGAUGGAUUAAGAAUCUCAUGUUCCCCCUUUCCCUGAUAAAAUAGGACUUCCAAAAAUAAUGAGACUUUCACUCCUUUUUCUUUGUUGAUCUCUCUAAUUUCUGAUUACAAAUAUAUGCAGGUUUCUACUCUGUUUCAAGAAUUUAAAGGACGUGCUUGCAAAUCAUGGACAACAUUGGCCUGGUACAGAGCUUGAGUCUUAAGCUCUUGCUUGGCUUUAGGUGCAAACACGGGCGUUCAGUUCACCUAGAUCAAGGAGCGGAUGCUUGUGGCUAUUGAGUGUGACUGUGAUGUACGCACUCACUCUGGAAUCUGAGAAUAAUUUGAUGAUCCUCUCUGGAAGAUAGUUAAAUAGUGAAUUUGACCACUUAUGUAUAGGAAUCUGUUGUUGUGUUAUGUAUGGAGAUGAAGAUUCUUAGGCUUAAGGUUUUAGUUUUUACUUUUAAGUGUUAUCGAUUGUUUUGCUGCAACUAAUUGUUGCUUAGCGUGAUAACCGAAGGAGUGCCUCUUGAAAAUCAAGAUCCUUAUUAUGUGUUCUUUCUAUGAGAUUCAUGCGAUAUGAACUUAUGUUCUUGGUGAAAUGUGUACCAAGUUUUUUUUGGGGGGGAUUUGGUGUGUUGGACCUAGGGUUGAAGUAGGCAACGCGCGCGCUAACUAUCUCAUUUUUGCGCUCUUAGUACUGAACUUAUUGUCAAAUGGCUACCUUCUGUGGCCUCAUUAAAGCACUGAACUUGAACUCUAUGUUGCCUUAUAUAAUCUUAUGACGAUGUCAAACUUAGAUGAUGUCUUGCUUCUAUUACAAGUGAAUUUGUUUAUUUCUUUUAUUUUGUUGAAUACAUAUGUUAAACGAGGAUUCCUACUAACAUGAACAUUACUUGUUUGAUCAUGUUGUUCGAACCGCACCCUCGCGCCAAGAUUCCUUUUUCUACCGUUGUGUUCCCUAUUUGUUUUGCUUCCAUCGUUCUACUGUUGUGUUCCCUAUUUGUUUUGCUUCCAUCGACCAGUUCCAGGUCGGGAGGCAUGCCAUGAAAGUGCCAAAGAAAGUUGUUUGUAUAAUAUUAGAAACAAAAGUAAAAAGGUAUGUAUAGCUUCAAAGAACAAUACGACAACUAAUUAUCGCUGCCUUGCAUCUCUCUUUUUGUUGUGUUUAUUGCUUUUGCCAAGUUAUUUUGUCCUUUACUAUAGUUAGUUAUUUACCAAUGCUUAACAAUUGGCGCAGACCCGUGCUCCCAGCGUCGGACCCCUCGUGUCAUGGGGCCAGCCCUCCCGCCGGUGCCGCGCCGCGAUGCCGCUAGCUUGGAGGCCAGUGUCCAUGCAGCCGCCACGAUGUCGGCGGCAGCGGAUGCAGUGCGGGGCCUCUGGGUACCGCGUGCUGGGGGACCGACAUGUCUUCCGGUUGUGGGUUCCGGCGAUACCAAGCCAUAGGUCUGAGCCGCCGUCUCCACUUGGUUUCCUCCAUGUUUCGAUCUGGUACCUCCACUCCUCACCACCUUGCUUGCCGUGCAAGCGUGUGGGUGUGUGUAUAAGUGCAACACUCGGUUUGGUCAGUCGCUAGUUCCUCCGAACAAUUGGACUAUUGGGUGCUGUUAGACCUUAGGGGGUAGGACAGAUCCAACAAUGGAAGGAAUCGAUCAGUGGAAGUGUGGCAUUCCUCAGAGCUCAGGCCUUCCUGGCCGCUGGAUCAGUUUGUUGAUGCGUUCUCAGCUGUGUAAUCUUGCCUUCGGAUGACUUUGGUCGUCGGAUCGAAUCCGAUUACUGCUACAAUGAGUAGUCAUGGAGACAUAGAACCUGUCAUCAUUUUGUCGGACUAAUUAUGGAGUUACUUGUGCAAGUUACACCAUCAGCAAACACAUGAAGACCUGAAUGCUAUCAUUGCAAGUUGAACAUUUACAUGCUCCAAGUCAAUCUGUUAGGGAGAAAACAAAGGCUUGUGUGCCUAUUAGUAAUUUUUUGUUUUAUCAUAGUGGGCACCUUAUCUAUCUGUAACAUGUGCCCUGUGCAACUGCAAAAGUGUUGGACAAUAAAAAUUCUGUGUAACACAUGUUCUUAUACACUCUGCCUAUGGUUAGUAUAGAAACUAUGCAUAGUUGUUACUCUUUUGCGUGGCCUUGUGUAAUAUACAUUGUAAAUAAAUUAUCAUGAACUAUUGAUCCUUUCACUUUUUCUGUAACAUACUGAACCUUUGCACUAUUACUUUCAUCGUAUAAUCGUAUGAGAUAUAAAAUGUUUCAUAUCAGGUUGGAUAUAGCUGAGGCGGGUGGGAUGCGGCAAGCCGCACUUCCUAUCUAGUUGAAACAAUAGGCGCAUUGAUCACACCGCAGUGCUAGCUGCACCACGCGGGAAUGAGACACGCGUUGAUUACACCUCGGCCACAAAGGCUUUGAUGCUCCUCUCAGUCUUUUUAACAACCUGCUUGCUUGCUUGUGCUGGCCAUUCUCUUUUGUUCUCCUUCUCCAUUCCUUUCAGUGUUGCCGGAGCUUCAAAGCAUGUGCUCGUCCAUGUCCCAGGGUAGUUCAAUACCACCUCCCCACCACAUGGCCAACUAGAUGCCUCCAUCUUCUCCACGCUGUGCUAAUCUUUCUUCUUGUUGUAGCAUGGAGGCUGCAGUUUCUAGAAGUGGGAGAACAUAUGAUUUUGCACACAUUGGUCCAUCGCCACAUCUCACUUAUCAAACAGAACCAGGCAUUGCUGAAGAACAUUUUCAUGCUGGGCCUCGUGAACCUGCUGGCCAUGGCCAUGAUCUUCUUCCACAAACUCAAGUUUAUUCCCUCUACAUAGGGAGUGCCGUAGUUUUUCAUAUGUAUUUUUUGUGUGCUCUAUGCACUGCAUGUACCCGCCAUGGCCAUGAUCUUCCUCCACGAACUCUGAAGUUUAUUCCCUCUACGUAGGGAUUGACGUAGUCUUUCAUAUGAUUUUUAUGUUCUAUACAAUGCAUGUAUCUGCUAGUGCACUAUGCUUGCUCACGCAGGCUGCGAGCUAGCCUAUCAAUAAAUUUUUAAGGACCCGUUGUGUGCAUGGAGAAGCGUUUUGGCAAGUUGUAAUCGACCGGUACGUAAUUAGUGGACCCCUAAUCACGAAACAAAUGUCAAUACACCAGACAACAGAGAUGUCAUAAAUCCCUACUGCCCAGGCAUGCGCCCUACCCACCCAACGGAAAUGUCAAUUCACAUCGAUCGACAUUCGUUUAAAUGCACACCAUCAAUGCAACCAGCCCUCCUUUUCCUGAAACAGAUGACAGGGCAACAUUUAUAAGAUCAAGCCAACUUUAUCAUCAAGUGCUACAUAUAUGUUCUCUGCCAUAUCAACGUUCUUCUCGUCUGAAUCCAUAAUAUCUAUUCUUUGACGAACCUCAACAGAAUCUAACAAAUCUGCAAAUCUACCACUUGGGUCAUCUUCAGUCACCUCUCGCAGUAUGCCGAGCCACCCUGAAUGGCUUCCAAAAACCACUGAAUCAGGGUGGAAUGGCAACUCAAACGUCUCACUAGCUCGAGGCAAACGAGAUAUCAUCACAGGUGGGCGUGUACGCUCGUAGGCAAAGAAAACAACGCAUCAGAUAAUGUUUUUGAUGGUCUAACCUGAUCUCCGUCAAUGAAGAAUCCAUCUCCACUCCUCCCUCUGUUCCUCCACAGGCAACAACUUGGGGGAGAUCUAAAGUGUGAGCAACUAGGUAGUGUGCGUGCUCAAUGAUGUCCACCCAACAGCGAGAGCAGUUAUGCCAUCGCUGGGGCCGUCACAUGGGUCGUGUUUUCAUACAGACAUAAAUGCUGCGUGGGCCACUGGCUUGACAUAUACGAUGAUGUAUUCGUGGAGCUGGUAAUUAGCGUGCCAAGUAUUUGCGAAUGGGCUAUAAUAAGUAGCAAUCACGACGCGUAGAAGGACGGCCAAGAUAACGGCAUCGCGUGGCACCAUGUGCCAAAAAUUCACGUCCAUCGAAUGUAGUCCUACUUGUCAACAACUCUUUUUAAAUUCUUUACUUGAGUUUCCUUCAAGAGUAGAUGUGGGUCAGCCACCGCCACACGCGCCGCCAAUCCACAUCUACUCCUGGCUGCUCCUCGCGGGUUGGCCUGGGGUGCCCUCGGGAUGCGGUGCCCUCCCCUGCCCCCCUUCGUGGAGGUUCCUUUGUGGUACCCUGAUGGUAGCUGCCUUCGCAAUGCAUCGGCAGGAUGACGCAACGGGUGUGCAAGCUUUCCAUGGCGGCCCUCUUUCUCUCGUGAGUGUGCUCCGGCUACGACCCCUCGUAGCCAUGGACCAGCGCCCCCUCCUGUGUUCAUGGACGAUCAGGUCCAUGCUGAGCCGGCUCUAUACCCGACAUGCUCCGGGAGCUGCGUACCUCUUCCAACUUCUUGGCCUAGUCGGCGUCACGGCGGUUUUGGCUCCGACAUCCUAGAUCUACGCUCCUCUCUAGAUCUUGGCUUGUCCAUGUUGUCGGCCACCGUUGCACCCCCUUCGCUGCCGCAUUCCCCUCCGCGCGGCCGCCCAACUCUGCACACUUCUGCGCCUCACUCCUCCUGCUGGAUCUAUAGCUCGCUCUUUCGGUGAUGUCCGAUGUUGGCUUUGGCGGCGGGCGUUCCUCCCCUCCCUGCAAUUGGCGGCUUCGGCUUGUGUCUUGACCUCCUCCUCUCUGAAGUCUACCCCGACAGCUUGAGAUUGAUUAGACAAAGGCGGGGUGGGAUCCCUUCUCAGCUUGUUGGUGCUGGCAGCAGUGACACCCACGGGAGUCGUUCCCUUCUUGGAGGCAUUGCCAUGGUCUUCAUCUUUGCCCCUAUUCGAGCAUCAGGGGAAACCCUUGGUCCGGGCUCUUGGACCAGAUGGUGCAAACGUCUUUAGUGUCGUUCCCCUUGAUGAAGGCGUCGUCUUGAUCGUUGCGGCAACGUCCCUGGCGGUGGACUUGGAUUUGUUGGUUGUCUUCAUUGGGUUCGAGUUGCUUCUCAGGGAUAGUUGAGUUUGUCGUGUUAUUUUCCUAUGUUUGGGCCGAGCACCCCAUGUCCCUCUGCUCCAGGCACCAUGUCACGCCUUCUUGCAUCCGUGCAAAUGUUGUUCCAUACCUUGUAUUCACUCGUUUUCUUCUAUCAAUGAAAUGAUACACAAGCUUUGUGUAUUCGUGAAAAGAGUAUAUGGGGAUCCCCACUAUCGAUAAAUGAUGGACCUUGAUAAUAGUUUGACAGAGUAGGCCAGGAAAAUGGAUUAUUAUUAUGUGGCCCUUGGAUUGGAUGGGAGCAAUUGGUCCAGGAGUGAAGGACACAUUAGAGAAAUAAUCACUUUCUCACCCAUGUUUUACUUUACAAGUUUUUUCUUUUGAAACUUAGGGCAUAUCCAACACCGACUCCCAAAAUGCACACAAUAUUCGUUCGGAGCUGGCCAUCCAACCUUAUCCUUCAAAAGUUCGCCCUUGUUCUUUUUAUAGUCCAUAGCACUCAAAAUAAUACGUAAUAGAUAAAUCCUGAACAUUCAGAAUUUAAGCAUGUCAUCCCGAACGUUCUUUGACGACAACUUUAGUUGCCGCGAGGUGGCAACUUUAGUUGUUAACACAUGUCAACUUUGUUCCAGUUUAAUUUUUUGUCAAAAAAUUGCCAUGUUUGUCAACAUCGCCUUAACUAAAGUUGCCAUGAAAAGAGUUCGGAUUAGCAUGCUUAAAAAUCUAACGUUCGGGACUUAUUGAGGUCCAAAUAAUAACAUAUCAAAUCUUCAGUGAGUGAAAAUAUUCAAAUGUGACACUAGUUCUAAUGCAAAUAUUACAAUCCAACUAAGUUUAAAAAUAUAAAAUAGUUUAAAAUUAAGUUAAACUCGCACAUAUGUUCUAGUUGUUCCCUUUAAGUGCCCACAAAUGCUCAAUUGGAUCUUCCUUAAGCUGCUCAUGAGUUUCUCGAUGCCAAAUUUAUUGAUGCAUUUGGACAAACUCAUCAAAUAUGGCUGGAUUCUGAUUUGAAAGUAGGAUAGGAUCAUCCCAUGUUCUGAAAUUUUAGACCGCCGACAACAUCUUCACCCCAUUCUCCACGAUCAUGUUGUGCAUGAUCACACAACAUGUAAUCACCUUCCACAAAGUCUCUAGAUCCCAUAUUUUGGCAGAUCCUCGAACAACUGCAAAACGGUCUUCGAGCACUCCAAAUGCCUCUUCACAGCCUCUCUAGCUCCUUGUCUUUGGGCGAAGUGAACUCUUUUCUAACCUACUGGCUCGGAGAUGGUCUCGACGAAGGUCGCCCAUGGAGGGUAGAUACGGUCAACUAGAUAGUAGCCAUGUUGUAGUCAUGCCCAUUGACACUAUAGUCAUAGAGGAGUUUGUCCUUCAAUCAAGAUAGCAAACAAUAGAGACCACUGCAGCAUAUUGAUGUCAUUGUGAGAUCUUCAUACCAAAGAAAAUGUGUCAAAUCCAGAGGUCCUGUGAUGCAACUGUUUCAAGAAUGAUGGUGGGCUUCUUAACAUGACCAUGUUAUCGCCCUUGUAGAGCAUAUGGGAAGGUCUUCGAUCUCCAGUGCAUGCAAUAAAGAUAUCUGAACAUACCUCCGCAUCCUCUUGCUUCCGAGAGUGUCAUGAGCCUUUUGGUGUUUGCGAUAGUUGGUUCUCUCAAGUGUGGAGGUCCAAACGCCGGGACCACUGUAGUAGAAAAUUUGACCAUGGCGUCUUCACAUGAGCUCUUAAGCAUUCAGAGGUACUCAUUGAUAACCCACAAGUAUAGGGGAUAGCAACAGUUUUUGAGGGUAGAGUAUUCAACCCAAAUUUAUAGAUUCGACACAAGGGGAGCCAAAGAAUAUUUGCAAGUAUUAGCAUAUGGGUUGUCAAUUCAACCACACCUGGAGAUUAAUUAUCUGCAGCAAUAUGAUGAGUAGCAAAGUAAUAUGAUAGUUUUGAUAGUAGUAGUAACAGUAACGGUAACGAUAACAAUGAUAGCAAUGAUUUUGUAGCAAGUGUAAUAGUAACAGUAGCAAUAGAAACUUAGAAAGAUCAAUAUGUAGGAAAAUCGUAGGCGUUGGAUCGGUGAAUUCGUUGGAUGAUAUUCAUCAUAUAUCAGUCAUAACCUAGGCGAUACAAAACUAGCUCCAUUUCAUAAAUAUAAUGUAGGCAUGCAUUCUGUAAAUUGUCAUACAUGCUUAUGGAAAGAACUUGCAUGACAUUUUUUGUCCUACCCUCCCGUGGCAGCGGGGUCCAUAUGGAAACUAAGGGAUAUUAAGGUGUCCUUUUAGUAAAGAACCAGAACAAAGCAUUAGCACAUAGUGAAUACAUGAACUCCUCAAACUAGGGUCAUCACCGGAAAGUAUCCCGAAUACUGUCAUUCCGGGGUUUACGGAUCAUAACACAUAAUAGGUGACUAUAACUUGCAAGAUCGGAUCUAGAACAUAGAUAUAAUGGUAAUAACAUAAACGGUUCAGAUCUGAAAUCAUGGCACCCGGGACCAAAGUGACAAGCAUUAAGCAUGUCAAAGUCAUAGCAACAUCAAUCUCAGAACAUAAUGAAUACUAGGGAUCAAGCCCUAACAAAACUAACUCAAUUACAUGAUGAAUCUCAUCCAACUCCUCAUCGACCAGCAAGCCUACGGAGGAAUUACUCACUCGCGAUGGGAAGCAUCAUGGAAUUGGCGAUGGAGAAGGGUUGGUGAUGACGAAGAUCAAAGAUCCCCCUCUUCGGAGCCCCAAACGGACUCCAGAUCUGGCCUCCCGAUGAAGAACAGAAGGUGGCGGCGGCUCCGUCUCAUGAAACAUGAUAAUUUUUCUCCAUGAUUUUUUCUCCAAAAGUAGGAUUUUAUAGAGUUGGAAUCAGGGUCUGCAGGGCCACCAGGUGAGCACAACCCACCUGGGCGCGCCAGGAGGGGGGCGCACCAUGGUGGGUUGUGCUCACCCAGGGCCCCCCUCCGGUGGUUCUUGGCUCCAAUAUUUUUCUUUUAUUCCAUAAAAAAUAUCCAAAAAGUUUCGUGUCAUUCCGAGAACUUUUUAUUUCUGCACAAAAACAACAUCAUGGUAGUUCUGCUGAAAACAGCGUCAGUCCGGGUUAGUUUCAUUCAAAUCAUGCAAAUAGAGUCCAAAACAAGAGGAGAAGUGUUAGAAAAAGUAGAUAUGAUGGAGACAUAUCAACUCCCCCAAGCUUAAAUCUUUGCUUGUCCUCAAGCAAUUCAGUUGAUAAACUGAAAGUGAAAAAGAAAAACUUUUACAAACUUUUUUGGUCUUGUUUACGUAAAUAAGCUUAAGUAGAACCCAGGCUUUCAGCAAAGAUCAUGACUAACCCUAUCAACAAUAACUCUUAAAAAUUAUAUUAACUCAUAUCAAUGGCAUAAUCAACUAGCGAGCAAUAAUAAGAUAUCUCAAAUGACAACACUUUGUCAAAACAACCAUGAUAUAAUAUGACAAUAGUGGUAUCUUGCUAGCCCUUUCUGAGACCGCAAAACAUAAAUGCAGAGCACCUCCAAUGUUUAAGCAGCGACUAAACAUUGUAAUUCAUUGUAGAAAAGAUCCAGUCAUGAUGCAUCCAACAUUAGCUAUACAUAAUGCAUGAGGAUGACAAUAGUACUCUCAGAUCUGGCGCUUCUUUGAGAAGGUGAUGACACAACAUAAAAGUAAAUAGAUAGUCCCUUCGUAGAGGGAAGCAGUGAUUUGCAGUGGUGCCAGAGCUCAAUUUUUUAAAACAAAGAUAAAUGAAAUUUUGAGAAAUGCACCCUUCUUGUUUACUUUGCGACCAUUAGUUAUCGGUAUCUUCCAUGCUAGACACAUUAGUGGCGGUUCCCAAACGACAAAAGUAAAGAUUUACUCCCCCUCCACCAACAAACACACUCCAAGGCUAGCUGAAUCCAUGGGUACCAUCCAUACCAACAACAAUCCUAGGGGGAUUUUGUUUAAUUAUUUGCAAUUUUUAAUUCGGGACUAGGAAUCCAUAUUAUCGCCCCUCUCGUGCAAGGACGAGUGAGUAAACACUCAUAAUGAGAAUAACCUGCUUAGCAUGGAAAAUACUGACUACCUCUUGUCACUCUAUGAACAAUCCAGUCACACAAAAACAAAUGUUUAUUUGAAGUUUUUAGAGGUGGCACAUGCAAAUUUACUUGGAACGGCAAGGUGAUAUCGCAUAUAGGUAGAUAUAUGGUGGACUCAUCUGGAAUAAUUUGGGUUUCAGGAUUUUGAUGCACAAGCAGUAUUCCUGCUUAGAAUAGGCGAAGGCUAGCAAAUAGGUUGAGAAGCGCCUAGCUAGAGAGCGAAAACGGCCAGGAACAUGCAUUAUGCAUAAGUAGCAUUGUGUACUAGCAUGAGUAGGAUACGAACACCAUGAACAUAAAUAUCAUAGAGGCUAUGUUGGUUUUGAUUCAACUACAUGCAUGAACAUGUGCCAAGUCAAGCCAGUCAAACAUUCGGAGGAGGAUACUAUAUCAUCAUACCACAUCACAAUCAUGUUAAUGCAUGUUGGCAUCCAAGAUAAAUCAUUAUCCAGUCCUAGCUACUUAAGCAUGGCAUGAGAAACUAUAAUCUCUAAUUGUCAUUGAAAAGAUGUUUGAUCAUAAUAGUCUAAAUCAUGGAUACUAGGUUAAACAUAUUUACAAAAACAGAACAAGUUGAGUUCAUACCCGUUUCUCUCUGCCACAACCAGUUCAUUAAAUAUCGUCAUUAUUGCCUUUCACUUGCGCGACCGAAUGAUAUGAAAAUAAUAAUGGUGCAAUAGUGUCAUGGACUAAGCUGGAAUCUGCAAACAUUUUUAUUCAUAAGGAGAAGACAAGGUAAUAUGGGCUCUUCGUUAGAUCAAUAACAAUGCAUAUGAGAGCCAUUCAACAUUUUCAUCAUGGACUUGUUCUCGGUAUGACUCAAUAAAAAGAAAAUAGUUUCAGAGAAACACACUGAAAUAUUUUUGGAGGUUUUUAGUUUUUCUUGAAUGAAGCAAAUUAAAGAAAGAAAAACAAAAACAAGAAAACCUCUUUACACGAGAGAGCUCCCAACAAGCAAAAGAAGACUCAAUUUUUUUUCUAGGUUUUCUUUUUAAUACUACAACUAACUACACUAGAAAGAAAAACCGAAAAGAAUCAAGCACCAUUUUUUGGGUUUCCUCAAAGUUUUUGAUGAGGAUCAACAUGAUGAUUCUACCAUUUUUGCCUGAUCUUUCACCACACGACAAAUAGAUAGCUAACCUUCUAAUCACGCUAGCAAUCCACACAACUUGAAGGUGAGGAAACGAAUCCAGCAAGCAACGUGGAGAUGAACAACACGCCUCUAACCUUGGCACGAUAAUCCUUGAUCACACAAGAACCUUCACGCAACCAUCACUUUAUUUGAUAACCAGCAGCGCCGUCCCCGGAGGGAUGAUUCACCACAGGAACACAAUGUUCAAAACUCAAUCUAAAAUUCCCCCUCUAAACCUAGCCACCGGCCUCCUUAUAUAGGCAUAUAGAAAACUAGUCGGUUGAACAGGCCCACACCAAAACACACAAAAUAAAAAUCCUAACUAGCCCAUAACAUGACCUAGAAAUAAAAAUAGAUAAAAACGAAACCGACCAAGUACAUGGUUCGGUCACCUCCUUUGGCACACCUCUAACUUGGAGGAGUCCUGAAGUUGGGCUUCACCUCCUCCUUCAUGGGAACAACAUGAGGUACUAGGAUGCCCUCAUCGUCCUCCCCCUCCCCUUGAAAAGGCGUUGUCCUCAAUGCUGGAGGGUCUUCUCUAAAGAGUGGCACCAAAUCAGCAACAUUGGAACGCUUCGCCGUCAUCUGCAAGUCUCGUUGACCUGCCACAUCACCUCCUCCCUCUCGGCUAACUGGGCUUGUCACAGGGGGCGGCACCACCUUCCGUCGCCACAUAAGCUUGGACUUAGGCGCCACCACCUUCUUCUUCUCCAUUAUCGAUGGAGCUCGUUGUCGCUAAAUGUGGACCUUCUUUGUACAACUCUGCAAAAUAGGAGCAAUGCCUGGGCCACAUAGUUGACGAACACAUCCAUCUUUGUCUGUGUGCAUACACAUAGUUGCUCCAACAAAUCUCCGCAUAAAUGGUCCAACAAACUUGCGGUCUACUACCCGCUCCUCCAUAUGCACCGAGACACAAGUAGCACAACUAUCAUCUGUCUGAACACCUUGGUCGACACAAAUUGGAAGUGUAGGACUAGUUGCAAUCUUCGUCAUCUCAUCACUAAGAGGCUUGACAUCAACCGGCUUGUCACGAACAUGCACAACUGGCUUGUCAUCGACAGGCACGGCGGAAACAAUAUCAAUAUUGAAACUCCACGCAUCAUGCUCCUCCGUCGGAGGCUGAACUAUC